AUCCAGAUGACCAGUCCCGAAUAGGACGAAAUGUGAGUCAAACUGGAU
rfam:Schistosoma haematobium scaffold547_7, whole genome shotgun sequence.